UCGGACAUGGUGUAGGGAACACAGCCUCUUCUUAUGAUCUGGCAUACCUGAAGAUGUGAGACAGCUCGGGGUUCGACUCCCCGUGUCGGAA